rnacentral:rRNA from 1 species
GACGAACGCUGGCGGCGUGCUUAACACAUGCAAGUCGAACGGAAAGGCCCUGCUUUUGUGGGGUGCUGGAGUUGCGAACGGGUGAGUAACACGUGAGUAACCUGCCCUUGACUUUGGGGUAACUUCAGGAAACUGGGGCUAAUACCGGAUAGGAGCUCCUGCUGCUUGGUGGGGGUGGGAAAGAUUCGGCGGUUGGUGAUGGAAUGGCGGCUUAUCGGCUUGUUGGUGGGGUAGUGUGUUACCAAGACUAGGCCGCGUAGCCGGCCUGGGAGGGUGACCGGCCACAUCGGGAUUGAGAUGAGGCCCGGACUCCUAUGGUAGGCAGCGGUGGGGAAUAGUGCACAAUGGGAGGAAGCCAAAUGCAGCAACGCCACGUGCGGGAUGUCAUGAUUCGGGUUGUAAUCCGCUUCCGCUUUAGACGAAGCGUGAGUGACGGUAAUGGGUGAAGAAGCACCGGCUAACUACGUG